rnacentral:rRNA from 1 species
CAUAAACGACUCUCGGCAACGGAUAUCUCGGCUCACGCAUCGAUGAAGAACGUAGCAAAAUGCGAUACUUGGUGUGAAUUGCAGAAUUCCGUGAACCAUCGAGUUUUUGAACGCAAGUUGCGCCCGAAGCCUUUUGGCCGAGGGCACGUCUGCCUGGGCGUCACAC